AGGUGAGGUUACUAAGCAGUAUGGAACAAGCCUUCAGCUCUCAGGUGAGGUUACUAAGCAGUAUGGAACCAUCCUUCAGGUCUCAGGUGAGGUUACUAAGUCAUCAUAGAUUCUGGGGGUUUAAAUGCCGUGGAAACAACUUCGAUUCAACCCGUCUUUGC